GCGGUUUUAAGGCGGAGUUGUCAUCUGGAUCAAUCUUUGGUGCUCGGUCAAUUAUUUCGAAUACUGAGGUCAGAGAUUUUCUUCUUUUGAGAAUAUAUGGAGCCAACCCAAAAGGCUCAACAAGUGCAAAAGAUGCAAAUGAGAACACCAUAAACUCCUUGAGCGCUGUAGUUAGAUUCACGUGCUUAUUCUUUACCAUGAGAGCAGUAUACCAAAGGAGAAGAGCAUUGCAACCAAAAAGAAGAAACUGUGAAAAGC
rnacentral:misc_RNA from 1 species